GAACGGCAUAAUGAUGUAUACUUUAUUGUCAUGCUACUUGCUACAUACUGCUAUAUACUUAUCAUAUACUAAUUAAGCUGCAUACUAACGUACACUUAUGUCAUGCUAGCUUGCCGCAGGCUACUACAUACCUAUCACAUACUAACUGGGCCGCAUUCUAAGGCAUACUUUUAUUACACACUGCUGGCUACAUACUAUACUAUCACAUACUACGGUAUAC